AACGAACGCUGGCAGCAUGCCUAACACAUGCAAGUCGAACGAGACCUUCGGGUCUAGUGGCGCACGGGUGCGUAACGCGUGGGAACCUGCCCUUAGGUUCGGAAUAACUCCCCGAAAGGGGUGCUAAUACCGGAUAAUGUCUUCGGACCAAAGAUUUCUCGCCUUUGGAUGGGCCCGCGUUGGAUUAGCUAGUUGGUAGGGUAAAAGCCUACCAAGGCGACGAUCCAUAGCUGGUCUGAGAGGAUGAUCAGCCACACUGGGACUGAGACACGGCCCAGACUCCUACGGGAGGGAGCAGUGGGGAAUAUUGGACAAUGGGCGAAAGCCUGAUCCAGCAAUGCCGCGUGAGUGAUGAAGGCCUUAGGGUUGUAAAGCUCUUUUACCCGAGAUGAUAAUGACAGUACCGGGAGAAUAAGCUCCGGCUAACUCCGUG
rnacentral:rRNA from 1 species